UACGUAGGUGGCAAGCGUUGUCCGGAUUUACUGGGCGUAAAGAGCGCGCAGGCGGUCGGAUAAGUCGAAUGUGAAAGCCCCCGGCUCAACUGGGGAGGGUCAUUCGAUACUGUUCGACUCGAAGGCAGGAGAGGGAAGUGGAAUUCCCGGUGUAGUGGUGAAAUGCGUAGAUAUCGGGAGGAACACCAGUGGCGAAGGCGGCAUCCUGGACCGGUAUUGACACUGAUGAGCGAAAGCCAGGGGAGCAAACGGG
rnacentral:rRNA from 1 species